UACGUAGGGUGCAAGCGUUAAUCGGAAUUACUGGGCGUAAAGCGAGCGCAGGCGGUUUUGUAAGUCUGUCGUGAAAGCCCCGGGCUCAACCUGGGAAUUGCGAUGGAGACUGCAAGGCUUGAAUCUGGCAGAGGGGGGUAGAAUUCCACGUGUAGCAGUGAAAUGCGUAUGAUGUGGAGGAACACCGAUGGCGAAGGCAGCCCCCUGGGUCAAGAUUGACGCUCAUGCACGAAAGCGUGGGGAGCAAACAGG
rnacentral:rRNA from 1 species